rnacentral:rRNA from 1 species
AAGCUCGUAGUUGAAUUUCGGGGUUCUACCGUUGGUCGGGCUAACCAGUCUGUACUAGCGUGUAGAAUUCCUACCUUCUGGGGAACCAUUAUGUUAUUAAUUUAGCGUGGUGGGAAACCAGGACUUUUACCUUGAAAAAUUAGAGUGUUCAAAGCAGGCUUACGUCUGAAUACAUUAGCAUGGAAUAAUAAAAUAGGACGGUGGUCCUGUUUUGUUGGUUUCUGAAUCACCGUAAUGAUUAAUAGGAUAGUUGGG